GGGCUAGGUACACUAGAACAGUUCCGCGACUCUUUCCAACAUGGACAUCAAAAUCUUUCUGAUUUGUGCAUUUCUUCUGUUUGGCCUGAUUUCCGCCAAUGCCCAGGAUCCAUGGGGAAACGCGUUGAGACGAAUUCCAUUUCCCCCGAGAGAUGAAGAAUCGCCGUGAAAAGCACCAAGAGAUAGAGAGAGACGAAAUCCACCGCCUCCAUUUUAAAUAUAAUAAUGAAAUACAAUAAUUCAAACUAUUUUUCUGAGCCAAAAUCGAAAAAAUAAAUUCAAAUAAAACAAUAUUUUUGACAAACCGA